CGCCCAGAAAGCCUGCGAGCUGGCCGUCCUCCCCAGCACAGUGUGCGGCUGCGCGACUUCAGGCUCUCCGAGUUCAAACUGGCACUGCCCCCGCGUCUUUCGGAUUGGCCAAUGGGAGGGCUCGUGGGCAGGACGGGCUUUCCCUCGGUCAGGUCUCCCCGGGUCUAGAUCUUCCCCCUCUCGCUUUGCCGGAGCUGUUCCUCCGGGGGCGGUCCGAGCCGUGGCUUCUGGCUUCAUUGUUCCAUGUGGAGGAUCCUGAUGGGUCCAGAAAGAGCCUCCCUUUCCCCCGUCAGGGCCAGGCAGGCCCUAGAUCCCUCCGAGACCGACUGAGCGAGUACCUCCUUCCUGCCCUGCUAGUGAUCCGACCCCGGAGGGUCGUCGGACAGCCUCUCGCCCACCUAUUAGAGUUGGAGGGAAAUCGUCACUGGACGUUCCCUGGACACAGUAUUUUCAAGGAGCCUCCUCCACGAAAAUAUACCUAGUAUUCCUAGGGUUUAGCACAGAAUACGCGCUUCGUUGUAAAUGCUUAUUGAUUGCCCUGACUUCAAGUCUAUUCCAAUCUCCUAAUUUUAUAAAGGGAAACCUGGAUGGUUCCGAGAUAACUGAUCUAUCCGGGGUAGCGUUUUGAAGAUGCCACGCAUGGUGCUGGACAGUAGGGAUGCAAAGACAGACAAAAGACAGUUCCUCCUCUCCAAGAGCUUAAUGGGGGAAGCAGCUUCGCAAACAGCUAUGGAAAAGCAAGAUAUGCCAAGGACAGAUGCUUUGUGAAAGUUUGCUAGAGUGAGCCAGAGCUCUCAUUGCAGACACAGCCUGGACUUUCCCCGUCUUUUACAGAGCUAAAGCUUAGCCUCCAACCCAUGAAGAGGGCAGAUUUCCUUAGGAUCCAGACACAACUGUUUAUACCAAAGAAAAGAAGGGACCUCUUUCUGUUUCUCCUAGCCUCUCAAGUGUUGUGUCAUGCCUCUUCUCAGAUAAUUGGUUUCACACACAUCCAUCAUGGAGGAAUUCAAACAGAAGUUAAAUGACCACUUAUAAGGCACAUGGAAGAGAGAAUGCCUCUUCAGGUUCAUCUUUUUGGAUUUGGUCCUAUGCUCCAUCUUGACUGCUGAGAUCUUUUGGAUUCUAUCAUUCAGGAUAUUUACUACCUCUCCUAGCUUUGUGUCAUCAACAAAUUCGAAAAAGAUAGAUUCAAUAAAUGAAAACAUUCUAUGGAAAGGAUCAAUGAAAAUUGGAGGAAAAUCUAAUUACCAUUAGGCAGGCAGUACUGUGCAGAAGAGCAAAUUGAACAGUCAUGGAUGAUUUGGAUAUAUCUGAAGAUACAACUGAUAGGGAGCAAGAAGAUUUGCCUUACGAUGGGGACCUGUUCGAGAAGACCGAGCUGCUGGAUAUUCACUGGGAUGAGUCUUUUCCCUUAAAAGAGAAAAUGUCUCUCCAACCUUUAACCUAUACAUACACAGAAUUAUCUCAAUCAGACAUUUCCAAUGGAGCCACCAAACGAGCAGAUGGCACUUUGCUUGAAACUCAUAUAAGUAAAAAGAGCAAUGAAGAGGAACCAUGCACUGGAUUUUUUCCCAUUCCAGUUAAUGAGGAAUCUUCAAACUCAAAAAUUUCUGAUGUUAUGCUAAAAUAUAUGUCCAAAAAUGAGUUCUCCAAUACUGUCCAGCCUGUUGCUUGUGAAACUUGCCCUAGGCCACCUACUGAAAGUUUUGAUGAAACUAUUGUUAAAAGCUUUAUUUUGCAUUGUAGCGAGACUUCUUUGUCAAGAGAACCAAAAACAAAACUUUCUGAUCAUGUCCUCUAUAAAACAAAUACUAUAUGCAAACAGUCUUGUCACAGACAACUCACAAGGAAAGAAAGUAUUUUUAAUUAUGAAGAAUCCAUGACUACUGGAGACUGCUUGCAGAAAAUUCCAUAUUUUGAAGUUGAAAAUGAAAGCCCAAUGUAUCCACAAACAAAAUGCGGAGGGCAGAUGCCCCAGAAACUUCCACUUGAAAUAAUAAAUUCAGAUGAUGGGCUUAAAAACGACCAAUAUCAAAUUCAUAAUCGCCUUCUUGAUUUAUCUCAAUUUGCUUCCAAAAUCAGAAUGUCGAACCCUAAUAGUAUCAGUCAUAGAUUGGCUACUGUAGUUAAACAAACCAUCUCUUCUCCUAACUUGAGUAGGAAAUCAGCUAUUGUACAAGAUGGGUUAGGAAGCAUGGUUAUAAAUAUUCUUGACCGAAAGCCACAAGAGGAUAAAGAAAAAACUAUUGAGUUUAUGCAAGACUUAAAGUUGAUGACCGAAUGUGUUGAGGCUCAACAUCUCAUUGACCAACUAAAGUUCAAUAAUGAGGUAUCUAAUCCUCUUGUGGAUGUUCCAAGACGAUCUGUUACAGAAUUAGCAACCGAGACAAAUGUCUUAAAAUUACCACCAACCACUGAAGAACAACUGCCUUCCAGUCCUUCACAAUUACUAACAAAAACAACAAAAGGAGACAGCAUGUGUCAGGAGAUAUCAGAGAAGACCAAGCAAUUGAAAACUAAAGUAGAAGAACUUUCUAAAAGAGUAAACUACAGUUACAUGCCUUCAAAAGAAAACAGACAGGUUCUGGAGAUAUUACAGGGUUCCUUUGAAGAGCUGGAGCGGAACUAUUUGUCCAUUAAAGAGACGCAUCGAAUUUUACAGAACCACAAUAAAAAUUCUACACUAUUUGAAGAGUUUGAUCCAGAAAGAAAAGUUGAAGGUGAAAUUUUUAAGAUUGAAAUGCUCCUUGAAAAUAUCAGGGACAGAAUUGAUGAAAGCACAUCUGGUUCUAUUCCUUUAAGUUCCUUGGAUGCUCUGGAUAUCUUGAACUUUGCAUUAUGUCCACUACCAAAUGAGGUCCCAAAACAAGAAAAUGGGCAUGGUCCUUCAGGAAAAUCUGACCAUGAAAUAAAGCUUCUUGAUCCUGGGAAACAAGAUCAAGGAAACACUCUUAUCCCUUUUCCUAAGGAUGAGAGUGUUAAUAAGAAAGAAGUCAUUCUGGCAAAGAUCCAGGAGCCUCCACAAGAUUGCCUUUGUGAACUCUACCCUCAGGUCUACCUCGGGUUACCCAGGAGAGAUGCUACUUUAGAUGAAGAUGCUCCAAAGCUUGUUUCCAAGGAAGAAAGUGCAAAAUUGUCUCCGCUGGAGACAAAUCAGCUGGCAGUGAAGCUUUCAUCGGAUUUAAUGAAAGCCUUCUCUUCUCUGGAAGAAGAUGAUAUUCCUGAAAGCUUGCAGUCCAUUAAGCAAUCUGUAAUGAGGCAAGACUGGCACUCUGAUCAUGAACUCCCUGAAAGGAACCAGAAAAAGGAGAAAAAAGAUGACUCUAGAAAGCCCAGAUGUGAAAGGUUUUCAGUCAUUAUUCAAGAAAAAGAAAUGAAUCUUAAUUUGUCUGAUUCCACUUAUUGUACAGAUGCAGGAGAUAGCUUAUUCUCAGACUCCCGCUAUAUCUCAAACACAGGUGAAUGUAGAAGUUGUAUGAAUAAACGUCUCAAAUCACAGGAAAAAGAAUUCCAAUAUAAAUACAAUUGCACAGGUCAGAAUCCUUUAAAUUUCAAUGAAUGUGAUGGCUUUAUCCGGUUCUGUGCUUUAAGCAAGAAUCAAAGUUUGACUCCAGCUGUUACAUACCCCAAACAGGAUGAAAAUGCUGUUCAGCCUUCACAAAACGAGCACUUGAAGGGGUCUGAGCAUCCAAAAAUGGAACCAUCAAAGAGAUCUGAGAAAAGCAAGUCUGUCUGUUCACAAACGGAAAAACACCAUGUCCCAAGAACUACUUCUAAAUCCUCCCAAGGUCAAGAUGAAAUGACUCUUGCUGGAAAACGGAAUAUGAAGUUUUCCAAAUCCAACCCAGGCAUCUAUGAUCAAAUUGCAAACUCCCCCCAUUGUCACUCCCGUAAGAUUUCUGGAAGCAAAGUUCUGUAUAGCAUCCAAAAUAUCAACAAAGAUGAUUCAGAGAUUUUAAAUUCUGCUUUGGAUCAUGCCCUAAAAACAGCCAUCAGUUUAAAAGAAACAACUGAGCAAAUGAUAAAAGCGAUUGCUGAGGACCUGGCCAAAGCUCAAGGUCGUAGAAGUCACCAGAAAUUCUAGCUAUGGCUCGGCCAAAAUACCAAAAGAAGAAAAGGUGUGAAGAAAACCUUGCUUCCCUAAAUGGAUGUACUUGCUGUUAUCAGCAUCUACAAACCUGAUUCCUCAGUACUUCAAAGAUCACCAGCUUUCUGCCCUUUGGAUGGUCUUCCUUGAGUUACUGUGUCUGAAAAGAAAGAUCCCAUCACCCAGUGGCCAACCCUGGUAACGGAACCUCUCUGAAAAGGACAUACAGUGUACUGUACUGUCAGGUCCAUGCUUGAAGCCUUCUCAAGCUUGGUAGAACGAGCCAGAGUUUGUGCUUCACCCAGGGUCUUCUCUACAACAUGAUGCAUCCAAGGAAGAUGUCAGUGGAUUCAGCUUCUACUGUUUGCUUUUCCCCCUGUAUUUUUUAUCACAAAGAUGGUUUUCUUCCCUUU